UCUGAGAGUUUCUAGAGGCAUUUUAACAAAUUCAUUUCGUGCAUAUCCUGUACUCACAACAUCCCUAAAAUUUCAUUCCCGAAACCAAUGCUCCCAAUUUGGCCCAAGCUGAGGGCGUGUUGUCCAUGAUAUUUAUGACCGUUCUCUAAAAUUCCUCUUUCCUGAAUGCUUUAAUGAGUCUCCAUACUCAGUUUCAAGAUUUGGCUAGGCGUUGCAACUGCCAUAAUUCAUCUUCAUUAUGUUCCAGUUAAGCAUCAAAGGGCAUCACGAUGAGUGAUCAGACUUUAUUCCAAUGCUACCGUUUUGCACAGGCAUGGAGGUUAUCAACAAAUUUCAUGGAGCUUACUGACAAUUCUUUGGCUUGGAAAUAUCGAAAUCCUCAUUGCUCAAUCGAUAACAUGGGAAACCCUAAAUUUCCAUAGCAAAGUAAGUUAGGGCAACUUUAUUUUUAUCGAUGAGACUAUUUCUUCCUUGUUAGAAAUCCAUCAUCAUACCGAAAUCAAAAUUUGGGUGAAACAUCAAACAUCGGCAACACCAUUUUGUGCUUUUGUAGAAGGCUUAUAUCUUGUCGAUAAGUUUGAGCACAAUUAUUUUGUGAGGAAGAUAAAGAACUUUAGGAAACUUUUAACUUCAUCUAUA